rnacentral:rRNA from 1 species
CCUACGGGGGGCUGCAGUGGGGAAUAUUGGACAAUGGGGGCAACCCUGAUCCAGCCAUGCCGCGUGUGUGAAGAAGGCCCUCGGGUUGUAAAGCACUUUCAGUGAGGAAGAACGCCUGGUGGUUAAUACCCAUCAGGAAAGACAUCACUCACAGAAGAAGUACCGGCUAACUCCGUGCCAGCAGCCGCGGUAAUACGGAGGGUGCGAGCGUUAAUCGGAAUUACUGGGCGUAAAGCGCGCGUAGGUGGCUUGAUAAGCCGGUUGUGAAAGCCCCGGGCUCAACCUGGGAACGGCAUCCGGAACUGUCAAGCUAGAGUGCAGGAGAGGAAGGUAGAAUUCCCGGUGUAGCGGUGAAAUGCGUAGAGAUCGGGAGGAAUACCAGUGGCGAAGGCGGCCUUCUGGACUGACACUGACACUGAGGUGCGAAAGCGUGGGUAGCAAACAGGAUUAGAUACCCGGGUAGUC